UGGUAAAAGGUGAGAUUUAUUCCCCC
rnacentral:piRNA from 1 species